rnacentral:rRNA from 1 species
GCUGCAACUCGCCUGCAUGAAGUCGGAAUUGCUAGUAAUCGCAGAUCAGCAUGCUGCGGUGAAUACGUUCCCGGGCCUUGUACACACCGCCCGUCACACCAUGGGAGUCGGUAACACCCGAAGUCGGUAGCCUAACCGUAAAGAGGGCGCCGCCGAAGGUGGGAUUGAUGACUGGGGUGAAGUCGUAACAAGGUACC